rnacentral:rRNA from 1 species
UACGUAGGGUGCGAGCGUUGUCCGGAUUUAUUGGGCGUAAAGAGCUCGUAGGCGGUUUGUCGCGUCGGCCGUGAAAUCUCCACGCUUAACGUGGAGCGUGCGGUCGAUACGGGCAGACUUGGAGUUCGGUAGGGGAGACUGGAAUUCCUGGUGUAGCGGUGAAAUGCGCAGAUAUCAGGAGGAACACCGGUGGCGAAGGCGGGUCUCUGGGCCGGAUGACUGACGCUGGAGGAGCGAAAGCGUGGGGAGCGAACAGGA